GGAUACUUUAAAGAGCAUGGCUCAUGAUAUGAAUGAGGAAUUGGAUAGGCAAGUUCCUUUGAUGGAUGAAAUUGACAGCAAGGUUAACAUUGUGAUUUUCAUGUUAUUGUACAUAUUAGUAACUGCUUAAGUAUUAGCAACUUACCCUAUGUAUUCUCUUCUUUAAACAUUUACAGGUAGACAAAGCAGCGUCUGACCUUAAGAACACAAAUAUCAGACUUAAAGAUACAGUCACUCAGUUGAGGUCCAGCCGGAAUUUCUGCAUUGAUAUUGUCUUGUUGUGCAUAGUUCUG